UACGGAGGGGGCAAGCGUUGUUCGGAAUUACUGGGCGUAAAGGGCGCGCAGGCGGCUGCUCAAGUCAGGCGUGAAAAGGCCUGGGCUCAACCCGGGAAUUGCGCUUGAGACUGGGCUGGCUUGAGUGCGGGAGAGGUGAGUGGAAUUCCCAGUGUAGAGGUGAAAUUCGUAGAUAUUCGGAAGAACACCAGUGGCGAAGGCGGCCCGCUGGACAAGUAUUGACGCUGAGGUGCGAAA
rnacentral:rRNA from 1 species